rnacentral:rRNA from 1 species
UACGUAGGGGGCGAGCGUUGUCCGGAAUUACUGGGCGUAAAGCGUGCGCAGGCGGUUCGCAAAGACAGGUGUGAAAUCCCCGGGCUAACCUGGGAACUGCGCUUGUAACUAGCGGGCUAGAGUGCGGCAGAGGGGGGUGGAAUUCCGACGUGUAGCAGUGAAAUGCGUAGAGAUGUGGAGGAACGACCGAUGGCGCAAGGC